CAGCCGCCGCGGUAAUACGUAGGUGGCAAGCGUUGUCCGGAAUUACUGGGCGUAAAGGGCUCGCAGGCGGUUUCUUAAGUCUGAUGUGAAAGCCCCCGGCUCAACCGGGGAGGGUCAUUGGAAACUGGGAAACUUGAGUGCAGAAGAGGAGAGUGGAAUUCCACGUGUAGCGGUGAAAUGCGUAGAGAUGUGGAGGAACACCAGUGGCGAAGGCGACUCUCUGGUCUGUAACUGACGCUGAGGAGCGAAAGCGUGGGGAGCGAACAGGAUUAGAUACCCCCGUAGUCCCUGUCUCUUAUAC
rnacentral:rRNA from 1 species